rnacentral:rRNA from 2 species
UGUUUCGGCUAGGGGGCCAUCCCGGCUUACCAACCCGAUGCAAACUGCGAAUACCGGAGAAUGUUAUCACGGGAGACACACGGCGGGUGCUAACGUCCGUCGUGAAGAGGGAAACAACCCAGACCGCCAGCUAAGGUCCCAAAGUCAUGGUUAAGUGGGAAACGAUGUGGGAAGGCCCAGACAGCCAGGAUGUUGGCUUAGAAGCAGCCAUCAUUUAAAGAAAGCGUAAUAGCUCACUGGUCGAGUCGGCCUGCGCGGAAGAUGUAACGGGGCUAAACCAUGCACCGAAGCUGCGGCAGCGACACUAUGUGU